rnacentral:lncRNA from 1 species
CUUAUCUCUUGUUACAUUCAGAGUGUGCUACCUGUGCCUGAAGGGCAGCGAGCCGGGCACCUCCUCUCUUGGACUCUCGUGAAGCAGCUAACAUGGGGCUGCUCAUCCAGUGGCCACUCGCUUGACAUCUGCAGAACUGAAAUGAUUCAUAUGACGGGGCUCGUGGCCAGCAGGCAUCAGAGGCACAAUGGAUAGACCUUUUCAACCUGGGAAAGUAUUGGAAAACAUCUCUACAAUUGUUGGCUUUGAGAACUAUUACUGCAACAGGAGCAAAGCACCAACAGCCAAAGGAACACCAUCCAGACAGUGGAGGGCUGGUUAAGCUCUUUGGUGACAGAGAAAUCUGGAUUUGAAUCCUUCCUCUGCCACCUUAUAGCCACGUGACCUAAGGCAAGUUAGACUUUCUCUGCCUCAGUUUCUCUCAUCUAUAAAACAGGUAUAACAGUACUUAUUAUAAAGAAUAAAGGGGAUGAGUGCAUCUAUGAUCUUAGCAAACUGCCCAGGUUAAACAAUAUAGGGUUACUAAGGAUAAUAACAAUCAUUAAUGUCAACAAGAUUACCUGCCAUGAGGCUUACAAGUGAUAUAUAGUUCAAGGUCAGGAAUUGUGUUGGACAAGGCUGUUAGAAAACAGUUGGAAACUCAGUGUAAAAAGACAAAGAAAAUUAUAAAUAAGCAAUCCUCAAAUUGAUCCUAUUAUGAAUGAUCUACCUACCCACUUAGUGCUACUGGGACCUCACAUCUGCACAGCACUUCCUAGCAGGACUAGUCAGACUUUGGGGGCAUGGAGACUGGCGAAAAUAUAAAAGAAUGAGGCAGUUCCACUCUGGCUGUGGUGUGGUAGAGGGACAUGGCUUUGAAAGUGUUAUGGUUUGGAUAUGAAGUGUCCCCAGAAAAGCUUGUGUUGAAAGCGUGAUAAACAAUGAAGCAAGGUUGAGAGGUGGGACUUUAGGGAAAAAACUGAAAGAUGAGAGCUGUCAUCUCAUCAGUGGAUUUAUCCACUUGAUGGAUCAGUAUUUUGAAUGAACUACUGAACUGUAGCAGGCGGAGCACUGGCCAGGGGAAUUCAUGCUCUGGGGGUGCAGCCUUGGAUGGUAUCAGCCUCUGGCCUCGUCCUCUCUUUGCUUUCCAACAGCCCUGAGCUGAGCGGCUUUUCUCUACCAUGUUCUGCUGUGAUGUUCUGCCUCACCUCAGGCCUAGAGUAAUGGAGCUGACUGACUGUGGACUGAGACCUCUGAAACCGUG